rnacentral:tRNA from 4 species
GGGGACGUAGCUCAGCGGGAGAGCACCUGCUUUGCACGCAGGGGGUCAGGGGUUCGAAUCCCCUCGUCUCCACCA